rnacentral:lncRNA from 1 species
AUACCUUUAGGAGAUAAGAUCCAUACUCCUAAUGUGGCCAUCAAAGCCUUUUAUGAUGUAACCUCUGAUUUCUCCCACACUCAUCACCCACCACCAUUCCUUAACUUCAUUCAUGCCAGGCUAGUAAUAAUAAUGAUGGCUAAGCUUUGUUGAGCUCUUACCAUACAGCUGAGUACUUUAUGUUCUUGUUUAACAGCCCCAUGAGAUAUGAAUUAUUAUACUUUAUUAAUGAAAAAAUUGGCAUCUGGAGACUUGUGAAACAUGGUUUCAGGGAUUGCUGACAUCCAAACCCUGAAGCCAUACUGCCUCCAGAAGCAUAAGAAGCUAUGGCAAGUCUCCAGAAUUUUGCUCAUGCUUUUCCUUCUGUGGGAAACAUCUGCCAACUUUUUCCCUUCUAGUGAACCUCACUAAGGCAUCAAUCGUCAUUUCUUUGAAGGCUUUGUGAUAGCAGAAUGAAGUUUCUGUAUUGUUUCUUUUAUAUAUAUAUAUAUAUACACACACACACACAUAUUGUACAAUUCUCAGUAUGGCACUGUAUUUGCUUUCAGAUUUUCCCUACUAGGUUCCCCAAGACUGUCUCAUAUUUGAACCCCAAUAAAAAAAA